GAGCUUUGUUUUCGGUGUGUGUGUGUGUGUGUGUGUGUGUGUGUAGUAUAAGUAGAGUCGCGUAGGAACAAACUACUCUACACACACACACACACACACACACACACACACANN
rnacentral:miRNA from 1 species